rnacentral:tRNA from 1 species
UCCGCAGUAGCUCAGUGGUAGAGCUAAGAGCUAUCGGCUGUUAACCGAUCGGUCGUAGGUUCGAGUCCUACCUGCGGAGCCA